rnacentral:ncRNA from 2 species
AGCUUACGCGCACUCUCAGGUGCUGAUGGUGGUUGCCGCCAUCAGUUAAACGGGAAGUUGGUGAUCGUUUUUGUGAAUCCAACGCUGCCCCCGCAACGGUGAUCGAGAUAAGAACGGCUAUAAGACGCCACUGUGCUAAGGCAUGGGAAGGUGGUCGUUCAGAAAGGGCUUGUGCUUUUAAAAGCGGCCUUUCGCUCGUCAGCCCGGAGACCGGCCUAAGAGUGAUGGUUCUA